rnacentral:rRNA from 1 species
CAGUCGCCGCGGGAAAACGUAGGUGGCAAGCGUUGUCCGGAAUUAUUGGGCGUAAAGGGCUCGCAGGCGGUUUCUUAAGUCUGAUGUGAAAGCCCCCGGCUCAACCGGGGAGGGUCAUUGGAAACUGGGAAACUUGGGUGCAGAAGAGGAGAGUGGAAUUCCACGUGUAGCGGUGAAAUGCGUAGAGAUGUGGAGGAACACCAGUGGCGAAGGCGACUCUCUGGUCUGUAACUGACGCUGAGGAGCGAAAGCGUGGGGAGCGAACAGGAUUAGAUACCCGCGUAGUCCCUGUCUCUUAUAC